GGGCAAUGGACCUCGCUCGGCCAGUCACCGAAGUUGAGACAGUGUCCCCAACUACUAUCCAGUGAAACCACAGCCAAGGGAACGGGCUUGGCAAUAGUAAGCGGGGAAAGAAGACCCUGUUGAGCUUGACUCUAGUUUGAUAUUGUAAAACUACUUGGAAGAUGUAGCAUACGUGGGAGCAUCUAAUGCGACAGUGAAAUACCACGGCUUCUAAUGUGGCUUUGCUCACUCGGAAUUAGUGGAUCUGCUCUGCAGAAACGCGAAACUAAAGUGUAAACGACAUUCACUGAGGACAUUAUCAAAUGGGGAGUUUGGCUGGGGCGGCACAUCUGCUAAACAUCAAUGCAGAUACCCUAAGGUUAACUCAAAGAGAACAGAAAUCUCUUGUAGACCGAAAGGAGAAAAGUUAGCAUUAUUCGGAUUUGUAUCAUCAAUAAGAAUUGCGAAAGCAUGGCCUAUCGAUCCUUUAAGCCCAGAAAGAUUCUGGCUAGAGGUGACGGAAAAGUUACCACAGGGAUAACUGGCUUGUGGCAGUCAAGCGUUCAUAGCGAUGUUGCUUUUUGAUCCUUCGAUGUCGGCUCUUCCUAUCAUUGAGUUGCAGAAGUCUCAAAGUGUUGGAUUGUUCACCCGUUAAUAGGGAACGUGAGCU
rnacentral:ncRNA from 1 species